rnacentral:pre_miRNA from 1 species
AAUAAGUGCAGUUUUGCACUAUUCACGUUUAACGUUUGACCGUUCGUCUUAUUUGAAUUUUUUUAUAAUUAGUAUUUUUAUUGCUAUUAGAUGAUAAACAUGAAUAGUACUUUAUAUGUGACUAAAUAUUUUCAAUUUUUUCAUAAAUUUUUCAAAUAAGACGGACGGUUAAACAUUGGGCACGGAUAUCCACGACUGCACUUAUU